UACGGAGGAUGCGAGCGCUAUCCGGAUUUAUUGGGUUUAAAGGGUGCGCAGGCGGCACGGCAAGCCGGCGGUCAAAUCGCGGGGCUCAACCCCGCCCAGCCGUCGGAACUGCCGGGCUAGAGUGGGCGAGAAGUGCGCGGAAUUCCUAGUGUAGCGGUGAAAUGCGUAGAGAUUAGGAAGAACACCAGUGGCGAAGGCGAUUCUCUGGACUGUAACUGACGCUGAGGCUCGAAAGCGUGGGGAGCAAACAGG
rnacentral:rRNA from 1 species